rnacentral:rRNA from 1 species
UACUCGUUGUUAUUAUCACGCGUUAGAGGCGUGGGGCUUCGGGGGGAGUAGUCUGCUACAUGCCACCCCUCCCCUUUUGUGUACUUCACUAGAGUGUGACGUUACCUUAUGAGAAAGCACGGCUAACUACGUGCCAGCAGCCGCGGUAAUACGUAGGUGGCGAGCGUUAUCCGGAAUUAUUGGGCGUAAAGAGCGCGCAGGUGGUUGAUUAAGUCUGAUGUGAAAGCCCACGGCUCUAACCGUGGAGGGUCAUUGGAAACUGGUCGACUUGAGUGCAGAAGAGGGAAGUGGAAUUCCAUGUGUAGCGGUGAAAUGCGUAGAGAUAUGGAGGAACACCAGUGGCGAAGGCGGCUUCCUGGUCUGUAACUGACACUGAGGCGCGAAAGCGUGGGGAGCAAACAGGAUUAGAUACCCUGGUAGUCCACGCCGUAAACGAUGAGUGCUAAGUGUUGGGGGUCGCACCUCAGUGCUGAAGUUAACGCAUUAAGCACUCCGCCUGGUGAGUACGGUCGCAAGACUGAAACUCAUAGGAAUUGACGGGGACCCGCACAAGCGGUGGAGCAUGUGGUUUAAUUUCGAAGCAACGCGAAGAACCUUACCAGGUCUUGACAUACCAUUGACCGCUCUAGAGAUAGGAUUUUCCCUUCGGGACAAUGGAUACAGGUGGUGCAUGAUUGUCGUCAGCUCGUGUCGUGAGAUG